rnacentral:rRNA from 1 species
GAGUUUGAUCCUGGCUCAGGACGAACGCUGGCGGCGCGCCUAACACAUGCAAGUCGAGCGACGACACAUCCGCUUGCGGAUGUUGAAAGCGGCGAACGGGUGAGUAUCACGUGGGUAACCCACCCUCGGCACCGGGAUAGCUCGGGGAAACCCGGAUUAAUACCGGAUAGCCUCACUGGUCGAUGGACCGGUGAGAAAAGGUAGCUUCGGCUUCCGGCUGAGGACGGGCCCGCGGCCGAUUAGCUAGUUGGUGAGGUAACGGCUCACCAAGGCCACGAUCGGUAGCUGGUCUGAGAGGACGAUCAGCCACACUGGGACUGAGACACGGCCCAGACUCCUACGGGAGGCAGCAGUGGGGAAUCUUGCGCAAUGGGCGAAAGCCUGACGCAGCGACGCCGCGUGCGGGAAGAAGGCCUUCGGGUUGUAAACCGCUUUCAGGAGGGACGAAGCCACUCGGGUUAACAGCCCAGAGGGUGACGGUACCUCCAGAAGAAGCCCCGGCUAACUACGUGCCAGCAGCCGCGGUAAUACGUAGGGGGCCAGCGUUGUCCGGAUUCAUUGGGCGUAAAGCGCGUGUAGGCGGUUCGAUAGGUCCGAUGUGAAAACUCGAGGCUCAACUUCGAGAGGUCAUCGGAAACCAUCGGACUAGAGUCCGGAAGAGGAGAGUGGAAUUCCUGGUGUAGCGGUGAAAUGCGCAGAUAUCAGGAAGAACACCGAUGGCGAAGGCAGCUCUCUGGGACGGUACUGACGCUAAGACGCGAAAGCGUGGGGAGCGAACAGGAUUAGAUACCCUGGUAGUC